AAUGAAGUGCCUGAUAAAAGGAUUAUUUUGAUAGAAUAAAUUAUGUAUAAAAAUACCUUCAUUA
rnacentral:tRNA from 1 species